UACGAAGGGGGCUAGCGUUGCUCGGAAUCACUGGGCGUAAAGGGUGCGUAGGCGGGUCUUUAAGUCAGGGGUGAAAUCCUGGAGCUCAACUCCAGAACUGCCUUUGAUACUGAGGAUCUUGAGUUCGGGAGAGGUGAGUGGAACUGCGAGUGUAGAGGUGAAAUUCGUAGAUAUUCGCAAGAACACCAGUGGCGAAGGCGGCUCACUGGCCCGAUACUGACGCUGAGGCACGAAAGCGUGGGAGCAAACAGG
rnacentral:rRNA from 1 species